AGUCUGGCCUGCCCAAUGAUUUUUGAAUGGCCGCAGUAUUUUGACUGUGCAAAGGUAGCAUAAUCAUUAGUUUUUUAAUUGAAAGCUGGAAUGAAAGGUUUGAUGAGAAAAUAACUGUCUCUAUAUAAAUGUUUUAGAAUUUCAAUUUUAAGUGAAAAAGCUUAAAUUUUUUAUAAAGACGAGAAGACCCUAUAGAGUUUGAUAUUUAACUUAAUUUGAUGAUUUUUGAAUUUAUUUCUUUAUUUUUAUUUAAAUAUUUCAUUGGGGCGAUGGAAAAAUUAGUUAAACUUUUUUUUGUUUGGAACAUUGAUUUAUGAAUAUUUGAUCCUUAUUUUUGGAUUAUAAGACUAAAUUACCUUAGGGAUAACAGCGUAAUUUUUUUUGGAGAGUUCUUAUCGAUAAAAGAGUUUGCGACCUCGAUGUUGGAUUAAAAUUAAAUUUUGGUGAAGAAGCUAAAAUUUUAGGUCUGUUCGACCUUUGAAAUUUU
rnacentral:rRNA from 1 species